rnacentral:rRNA from 1 species
UACGUAGGGUGCGAGCGUUGUCCGGAAUUAUUGGGCGUAAAGAGCUCGUAGGCGGUGUGUCGCGUCGGCCGUGAAAACCUGGGGCUCAACUCUGGGCGUGCGGUCGAUACGGGCAUCACUUGAGUUCGGCAGGGGAGACUGGAAUUCCCGGUGUAGCGGUGAAAUGUGUAGAGAUCGGGAGGAACACCGGUGGCGAAGGCGGUCUUCUGGACGGUGACUGACGCUGAGGCGCGAAAGCGUGGGGAGCAAACGGG